UACGUAGGGUGCAAGCGUUAAUCGGAAUUACUGGGCGUAAAGCGUGCGCAGGCGGCUUUGCAAGACAGAUGUGAAAUCCCCGGGCUUAACCUGGGAACUGCAUUUGUGACUGUAUGGCUAGAGUGCGGCAGAGGGGGAUGGAAUUCCGCGUGUAGCAGUGAAAUGCGUAGAUAUGCGGAGGAACACCGAUGGCGAAGGCAAUCCCCUGGGCCUGCACUGACGCUCAUGCACGAAAGCGUGGGGAGCAAACAGG
rnacentral:rRNA from 1 species